CCCUUAGAUGUUCUGGGCCGCACGCGUGCUACACUGAGUGGAUCAGCGGGUCAGGUUGCGCGAAAGUGUUUCCUAAUCUUUAAAUCCGCUCGUGAUGGGGAUUGACGGUUGCAAUUUUCCGUCAUGAACGAGGAAUACCUUGUAAGCGCGGGUCAUCAUCCCGCGCUGAAUACGUCCCUGCCCUUUGUACACACCGCCCGUCGCUCCUACCGAUUGAGUGAUCCGGUGAGGCUUUGGGAUCUGAGCGGAAAGAGCGUUUCGCUGUUUCUGCCCGGAAAACUCAGUCGAACCUUAUCAUUUAGAGGAAGGAGAAGUCGUAACA
rnacentral:rRNA from 1 species